rnacentral:lncRNA from 1 species
UCAUGGAAUGCAUCACAUCACAGCUAAUCACAUCAAGGAUGAACUUGUCACCAAUAGCCCUCUACAUAGUCCAACUGUGCCAGAACGUAGAAUGGGUCCUGGUCUUUCUCUUACAUAACAUAGCAUAACAUAACAGUCCAACUGUGCCAGAACGUAGAAUGGGUCCUGGUCUUUCCCUUACAUGGUGCCAGCGAACGUAGAAUGGGUCCCACUGGUCUUACAUUCCGUACCGUACAUAUCACAUCGUCAUAUCAUAGAUCGAGGGCUUUGGAUCAUCCAACGUUCAUCCACAUCAAUCAACAAUAAAGUAUGCAAUGCAACAUAUUCGUGAAUUCUAAUGCAAACAACCUAGUACAUUUCAUGGCAUUCAUGAUGCGUGAAACAUGCUAAAAAGUCCAUUAUUUGCUUUAAAACAUAAUGAGUUAUUCCACUCACCUCCGGGUAGCUCUGACCAGACACUGGAGCAGCUGACUCACUGCUGGGGUCCUCGGUUCCUCGGGUCCGAACCUACACAGGUGGACUCAAAUGAGGGACCAAACAAACAUGAACAUAACUCUAAACUACUCCCCAAAAACCCCCUAAAACAUCAUGAAACAAUCAUAGAAAAACAUGCAAAAGAGGGCUGGACAGGGCACUUUCGGCGGCAGGUUCGGCGGCCGAAAGUCCCUCCAGAGCCGAAAGUCAGGCAGGUUCGGCGGCACCUUCGGCGGCCGAAACUCCCAGACAGAGGCGAAACUCAUGCAUGUUCGGCGGCACUUUCGGCGGCCGAAACUCCCAGACAAAGACGAAAGUCUCCCUUCGGGGGCAAGCUUCGGCAGCCGAAGGCUGCCUCCAAAAGCAUGUUCGGCGGCCGAAAGUUCCUUCGGCUGCCGAACCUGGUUUCUCCCUUAGUGGCAGAAACUCAGCUCUUCAAUGCACAUUUGCCUCCAAAACUAUCCAAUCAAGCAUAAACCUAUUCUACAACAUUCCCAAUCACACACAAACAAGUAUACAAGUUCCUAGGGGCAUCAAACCAUCAAAAACCCCAACUACAACACAACAAGCAACUCACAUUGUUCAUAAACACAUAUAAAACCCAUAAACCUAACGAUGAGCUAAACAUGCAUUCUACCCCAUAGAUCCACUUAAAACUUACUCAAAACAUGCAAUGAGCUUAAGAUCGGCUCUUACCUCGUGGAGAUCGAGAGAGACGACCUAAACUCGGAGAUGGGAGGGGUUGAGUUCCCUUGAACCUCAAAGCUCCAAAACUUUGCUCAAAGCUUGAAAAUCUUCAAAACAAAGUAAAAACUCAUGAAAAUCGAGUAGGAUUGGAAGGAAAGAACUCAAGAUCGGUGAGGGACAGCGGAGAGCUCACCUUGGCCGGAAAUGGUGAAAAAGCUUGCCCGUUUUCGGCUAAGGGACCCUUUUAUAGUGGCUGGCCAGGCCAUGUUCGGGGGCCGAAUGUGCCUCCGCAUGCAUGCCAUGUUCGGCGGCCGAACUUGAGGUUCGGCAGCCGAACCUGGACUUCCCUCACUUAUGCUUUCGGGGGCCUAAAAGCACUCCCGAAGGCAUGCAUGUUUGGCGGCCGAACCUGAGUUUUCCUCCAAGGUUGUUUUCAUGCAAAAACUCAUUUCCAUUUUACUUAAAACCAUGAAAUACCUUAAAACAUUUUAUGAAAACAUGUUUCUACCCUACUAGAGGCUUCCGACAUCCGAGAUUCCACCGAACGGUAGGAAUUCCGAUACCGGAGUCUAGCCGGGUAUUACAUUCUCCCCCCCUUAAGAACAUUCGUCCCCGAAUAUUCCUCAACUAGCACAUAGCAUGGCAUAAGACAUAACAUACAUACAUAGCACAUAAACACAUAGAGAUCUAACCUUAAAAGAGAUGAGGGUACUGCUGGAGCAUAGACUCCCGUGUCUCCCAAGUGCAUUCCUCCAAAUCGUGGUGGUUCCACAGGACUUUCACCAUCGGGAUUUCCUUGUUUCUUAGCUUUCUGAUCUGAGUGUCUAUGAUCCGUACUGGCUGUUCAACAUAGGUGAGAUCCUCUUGGACCUCCACAUCAGGCUCACUAAGAACCUUGCUCGAAUCUGACACAAACUUCCUCAACAUUGAAACAUGGAAAAUCGGAUGGAUUCUUUCCAUUGAAGCAGGUAAAUCCAGCUUGUACGACACAUUCCCGAUCUUUUGCAAGAUUUCAAAGGGUCCGAUGUAUUGUGGGGCUAGUUUACCUUUCUUCCCGAAGCGAACCACUCCUUUCAUAGGAGACACCUUGAGCAAUACCAGAUCCCCCUCCUGAAACUCGACCUGCCUUCUGCGGAUGUCUGCAUAGCUCUUCUGUCUGCUUGCAGCAGUCUUGAUCCUUUCUCUGAUUACGGGUACUACCCUGCUGGUAAUCUCUACUAGCUCAGGCCCUGCCAAGGCCUUUUCUCCAACUUCUUCCCAGCAAAUAGGUGAUCUGCACUUCCUCCCAUACAAAGCUUCAUAUGGAGCCAUCCCGAUGCUAGCAUGAUGGCUGUUAUUGUAGGCAAACUCCACCAAAGGUAGAUGCUGCCUCCAAGAACCGCCAAAGUCCAGCACACACAUUCUGAGCAUAUCCUCGAUAGUCUGGAUGGUCCUUUCUGACUGUCCAUCAGUCUGGGGGUGUAAGGCAGUAUUGAAAUCCAACCUAGUACCCAUGGCAUUCUGCAGACUCCGCCAAAAUCUGGAGGUGAACUGGGGCCCUCUAUCUGACACUAUCGAAACAGGAACCCCAUGCAGUCUGACGACCUCAUCGACAUACACCUGCGCCAACUUGUCCACAGAAUAGCCACUCCUGACAGGGAUGAAGUGAGCAGAUUUGGUGAGUUUGUCCACAAUCACCCAUAUGGAGUCCAAUCUGUUGGACGCCGCCGGUAACCCCACUACGAAGUCCAUAGCUAUAUUCUCCCAUUUCCACUCUGGAAUAGGUAGCGGGUUAAGCAUUCCAGCCGGCUUCUGAUGUUCCAGCUUCACCCUCUGACACACUUCGCAGGCUGACACAAACUGUGCCACUUCUUUCUUCAUAGCUGGCCACCAAUAAACCUUCUUCAGAUCUUGAUACAUCUUGGUGGCUCCGGGGUGAAUGUUGUAUCUUGCAUUAUGAGCCUCCCUCAUAAUGUCUCCUUUUAGCCCGAUGUCGUCUGGUACACAAAGUCUGCUCCCAUAGCGGAGGAUCCCCUUACUGUCAAAUCUGAACUCACUGUCCUUGCCUGACUGAACAGUCCUGGCAAUCUUUACUAACUCUGGGUCCUCAUGCUGUUUCUGAGCCACCUGCUCCAGGAACACAGGUGCCACUCUCAUCUGGGCCACUAAAGCACCUGUACCAGACAACUCCAACUGUAGACCUUCCUCAACGAGCUUGUAAAACUCCUUCACCACUGGCCUCCUUUCUGCCGAUAUGUGGGAUAAACUGCCGAGUGAUUUCCGGCUUAAGGCGUUUGCCACAACAUUCGCCUUACCCGGAUGGUACUGAAUCUUGCAAUCAUAGUCACUCAGCAGCUCCACCCAUCUUUUCUGCCUCAAGUUCAAAUCUCUUUGACUCAGGAUGUACUGCAGGCUCUUAUGAUCUGUAAAGAUCUCACAUUUAACCCCAUAGAGGUAGUGCCUCCACAUCUUGAGUGCAAAGAUUACUGCUGCCAUCUCAAGGUCAUGUGUGGGGUAAUUCAACUCGUGCUUCUUCAGCUUCCUAGAAGCAUAAGCAAUCACCCUCUCAUUCUGCAUUAGUACACAACCCAGUCCCACACGGGACGCAUCACAAAAGACUGUAAAGUCCUCAUCACUAGAUGGCAGAGCUAACAAUGGUUCUGAAGUCAACCUCUUCUUAAGCUCUUCGAAACUCUCUUCGCACUGGUCGGUCCACACAAACUUCUGAUUCUUCCUGGUUAACCUGGUCAGAGGAGCUGCUAUCUUUGAGAAGUCCUGAACGAACCUCCUGUAGUAACCUGCCAAACCCAAGAAGCUCCUGAUCUCCGUCACUGAAGUGGGUCUAGGCCAGUUAGCCACAGUUUCUGUCUUCUUGGGGUCUACCUCUAUACCAUUUUCUGACACCACAUGCCCCAAGAACGAAAUGCUCCUCAGCCAGAACUCACAUUUGGAGAACUUGGCAUACAAGCCAUGUUCCCUCAAGGUCUGUAGAACCAACCUCAGAUGAUGGGCAUGCUCCUCUGCAUUCCUGGAAUACAUUAAGAUAUCGUCUAUGAAGACAAUAACGAAGUGAUCUAGGUAUUGACUAAACACUCUGUUCAUGAGAUCCAUGAAUGCUGCAGGGGCGUUGGUUAACCCGAACGGCAUUACAAGGAACUCAAAAUGCCCAUAUCUGGUCCUGAAAGCUGUCUUUGGUACAUCUUCUUCCCUUAUCCUUAGCUGAUGGUACCCCGAUCUUAGAUCUAUUUUGGAGAAACAACCCGCUCCUGCUAGCUGGUCGAAUAGAUCAUCGAUCCUUGGCAGAGGGUACCUAUUUUUGGUAGUGACUUUGUUCAACUGCCUGUAGUCGAUACAAAGUCUGAGGGACCCAUCCUUCUUUCUCACAAACAAGACCGGAGCACCCCAAGGUGAGGUACUCUGUCGGAUGAAGCCCUUUUCUACCAGCUCUUGCAACUGCUCUUUCAACUCCUUCAACUCAGCUGGGGUCAUCCUGUAGGGAGGGAUAGAGAUCGGUCUAGUUCUAGGCACCAACUCUAUCUCGAACUCUAUCUCCCUAGCAGGUGGUAAACCUGAAAGCUCGUCUGGAAAGACAUCCUGAAACUCUCUGACAACUGGCACCGAGGCUGGCUCCCUGACCUGACUACUAAGCUCUCUCACAUGAGCCAAAUACCCCUGACAUCCCUUCCUAAGCAACCUACGAGCCUAAGAGCUGAUAUCAGACCUCUAGGUGUGCCCCUCUUGUCUCCUCUGAAGACGACCUCUGACCCGUUCUGAUCUCUGAACCUGACUACCUUGUCCCUGCAGUCCAAGGUAGCACCAUGGGUAGAUAGCCAAUCCAUCCCUAGAAUGACGUCAAAGUCUGUCAAAUCUAGAACCACAAGGUCGGCGGAGAGGCAUCUUCCCUCUACAAAAACUGGACUGUACUGGCAGACUGACUCUGCCACUGACGGGUCACACUUGGGUCCACUGACCCAUAGGGGACACUCUAACCCAGAGACUAUCAGACCCAACCUCUCAACGGCUUUCGGAGCGAUAAAUGAAUGAGAUGCACCCGGGUCCAUUAAUGCAUACACAUCAGAACACCCAAUGACGAGAUUACCUGACACCACGGUGUUGGAUGUGUUAGCCUCCUGCUGAGUCAUGGUGAAGAUCCUGGCUGGAGCUGAUGGACCUUCACCUCGGGAACCAGAAGAAGAGGCUGCCCCUCUCCCUCUACCUCUGCCACUGCCCUGAGUUGUGGCUAGAGCUGCUGGCUGUGCCACACUACCAGAAGCUGUCUGCUGGGGUUGGCCCAUAAAAGGUGCUCUAGGACACUCCCGAGCCAUGUGUCCCUCCUGUCCACAUCUGAAACAUGAAUUGGUCCCAGCUCGACACACUCCUCUGUGCGGCUUCCCACACCUUUGGCAUUCUGUACCGUCUGAACCUGAACUCGAGCCACUGCCGAAUCCCAGACCGGAUUUCAACUUACACCAAAAUUUAUUCUUCUUCGGUUUCUUGGUGGUAUUAUUCCACCUCUUGCUACUUGAGCCCUGAGAAGAGAGACCUGGCCCUCCUCUGCCUGGGGUCUUAACCCCUGAAGACUGGGUCACUGACUGCUUCACUGACCCCUCAACUAUAGCACUCGCCUCCAUCCUUCGAGCCAUAUCUACCACAGUGUGGAAACUUUCCCUCUCAACUGACUGAAUCAAAGAGGAGUACCUGGAAUGCAGCUUCAUAACAUAUCUCUUGGCUUUCUUCGAAUCGGUAUCUAGAGCUUGCCCUGAAAAAGGCAAUAGCUCUAAGAAUUUAUCCGUGAACUCCUCCACACUCAUGUGUUCUGUCUGCCUCAGCUGUUCAAACUCAAUCAUCUUCAGUUCUCUGGAACUGUCUGGAAAAGUCCAACCCGCGAACUCAUUCGCAAAUUCUUCUCAUGUCAUGCUGUCUAGUCUUGGGUCCACAUAACACUUGAACCAUUCCCGUGCCUUCUUGCACUUUAAGGUGAACCCCGCCAUCUGAAUGGCCCUGCUAUCAUCCGCCCCUAGCUCAUCAGUUAUUGUCUUCACUACUCUCAGAUACUCAAAGGGGUCAUCCCCUGACUUGUAUUUGGGAGCAUCCAGCUUAAGGUAAUCUGUCAUCUUUACCUUGCUCCCACCGGCUGAGCUAGGUCUGGGAGGUUGAGUAACUGGGGCUGCUGGUUCUGUAGGUGGUGGAGGUGGGGGUGCAGCAUUCCCCGAGGUGGGGUUUGCUGGGUUUGGAUAGAAGGGUGAGGGUGGAUAAGCUGGGUACUGUGUGUAAGGUGGAUAGAAAGGUGGAUAAGGCAUGUAGGUAGGAUAGGGGUUAAAGCUGGAAUAAUCCGACGUACCUCCCAUCGGAUACCCUGAACCCUGUGGAAAGGGUGGAUAAUGGGGUGGAAAACCAUACCCCGAGGCCUGAACGCCUCCCUGUGACUCCCCUGUCCCCUCUUCCUCCAUGCUAACAUCCAGAUUCCCAUCCCUCCUCUGAUCCUCUUCCAUAACCUCCCUCACAUCUGAAGAACUUCCUCCUCUAUCUGUCCCCCUUCUGCUAGCAUCAAAAGACCUUCUAGGGUCCCUUGACACUCUUUCUCUGUUUGCUCUACAUGACAUUUCCCUAGGCAAUGUAGGAGGACGGGCGCUCGUGCCCUCAUCCUCAGGUGGUACUCUAGUCAAUCUUGCAGAUCAACGGGUUCCUCUCAUCCUGUUUUCUGAAAAACAGUACACACCACACAAACAUUAGCAUCAUAUGGUUCAUGUGGGCACACAUGAACCCUCAUCACAUAUACAUCAUUCAUAUCAUAGCAUCAAUGCACAUGUAUAUAAUAAUGGCAUUACACAUCAUCAUACAAGACAGGACUCCACAUCCUAUCCUAGUGGACAUGAUCUUCCUAUUGUGCUUGACUUUCUAGAACAUCUAUGAGCCCGACACUCUAGGUCCGAUCCUAUGAACCUAGGGCUCUGAUACCAUUCUGUAACGACCCGAAAAUCAGACCGCUACCAGCGCUAGGAUCCAGGUCGACUUAAGGCCGCCGGGACCCGUAGCAAGCCUAACAUACAUCCUGUGAACCUGAUUAAUCCCAUACAUGAUCAACAAAAUACAUAAAAAUUUAAAACUUUUCUUUCGUUUCACACACCAAACUCAACCUGUGUAUGCACUAUACAAAAGCAUAAUCAUAAGCAUGACCCCUCUGUGGGAUCUCAUCAAUGCCCCAAUGGGCGAUAUAUCAUAAGUUGAGUUGGUUUGCAUAAUCAUCAUAGAAUAUCUAAGAUCAUGUAUUAAAAGGGAUAUCUUAUACGUAUAGUCAAGCACAACCUCUAAUCCUCAAAGUCAUUACAUGACUAAAACUGUACUUUUACAUAACAUUAAUACAUUUAUCAUGCCCACACUAUCUAUUACAUACACAUGACUUCAUUACUCUUACGGAUCUCCUGGUCUACCCUGUACCUGCAAUCCUGGGGAAAAUGGGAGAGGGGUGAGCUACUAGAGCCCAGUGAGCAAAAUAAUAAAAACAUUUAAAUCAUAUGGCAUCAUGGAAUGCAUCACAUCACAGCUAAUCACAUCAAGGAUGAACUUGUCACCAAUAGCCCUCUACAUAGUCCAACUGUGCCAGAACGUAGAAUGGGUCCUGGUCUUUCUCUUACAUAACAUAGCAUAACAUAACAGUCCAACUGUGCCAGAACGUAGAAUGGGUCCUGGUCUUUCCCUUACAUGGUGCCAGCGAACGUAGAAUGGGUCCCACUGGUCUUACAUUCCGUACCGUACAUAUCACAUCAUCAUAUCAUAGAUCGAGGGCUUUGGAUCAUCCAACGUUCAUCCACAUCAAUCAACAAUAAAGUAUGCAAUGCAACAUAUUCGUGAAUUCUAAUGCAAACAACCUAGUACAUCUCAUGGCAUUCAUGAUGCGUGAAACAUGCUAAAAAGUCCAUUAUUUGCUUUAAAACAUA